CAGAUGAUUAGGGUGAAGUCGUAACAAGGUAGCCGUAGGAGAACCUGCGGCUGGAUCACCUCCUUUCUAAGGAA
rnacentral:rRNA from 2 species